rnacentral:rRNA from 1 species
GAAUGCCGGUGUGAGUAGCGAAAGACGGGUGAGAAUCCCGUCCACCGAUUGACUAAGGUUUCCAGAGGAAGGCUCGUCCGCUCUGGGUUAGUCGGGUCCUAAGCUGAGGCCGACAGGCGUAGGCGAUGGAUAACAGGUUGAUAUUCCUGUACCACCUAUAAUCGUUUUAAUCGAUGGGGGGACGCAGUAGGAUAGGCGAAGCGUGCGAUUGGAUUGCACGUCUAAGCAGUAAGGCUGAGUAUUAGGCAAAUCCGGUACUCGUUAAGGCUGAGCUGUGAUGGGGAGAAGACAUUGUGUCUUCGAGUCGUUGAUUUCACACUGCCGAGAAAAGCCUCUAGAUAGAAAAUAGGUGCCCGUACCGCAAACCGACACAGGUAGUCAAGAUGAGAAUUCUAAGGUGAGCGAGCGAACUCUCGUUAAGGAACUCGGCAAAAUGACCCCGUAACUUCGGGAGAAGGGGUGCUCUUUAGGGUUAACGCCCAGAAGAGCCGCAGUGAAUAGGCCCAAGCGACUGUUUAUCAAAAACACAGGUCUCUGCUAAACCGUAAGGUGAUGUAUAGGGGCUGACGCCUGCCCGGUGCUGGAAGGUUAAGAGGAGUGGUUAGCUUCUGCGAAGCUACGAAUCGAAGCCCCAGUAAACGGCGGCCGUAACUAUAACGGUCCUAAGGUAGCGAAAUUCCUUGUCGGGUAAGUUCCGACCCGCACGAAAGGCGUAACGAUUUGGGCACUGUCUCAACGAGAGACUCGGUGAAAUCAUAGUACCUGUGAAGAUGCAGGUUACCCGCGACAGGACGGAAAGACCCCGUGGAGCUUUACUGUAGCCUGAUAUUGAAAUUCGGCACAGCUUGUACAGGAUAGGUAGGAGCCUUUGAAACGUGAGCGCUAGCUUACGUGGAGGCGCUGGUGGGAUACUACCCUAGCUGUGUUGGUUUUCUAACCCGCACCACUUAUCGUGGUGGGAGACAGUGUCAGGCGGGCAGUUUGACUGGGGCGGUCGCCUCCUAAAAGGUAACGGAGGCGCUCAAAGGUUCCCUCAGAAUGGUUGGAAAUCAUUCAUAGAGUGUAAAGGCAUAAGGGAGCUUGACUGCGAGACCUACAAGUCGAGCAGGGUCGAAAGACGGACUUAGUGAUCCGGUGGUUCCGCAUGGAAGGGCCAUCGCUCAACGGAUAAAAGCUACCCCGGGGAUAACAGGCUUAUCUCCCCCAAGAGUUCACAUCGACGGGGAGGUUUGGCACCUCGAUGUCGGCUCAUCGCAUCCUGGGGCUGUAGUCGGUCCCAAGGGUUGGGCUGUUCGCCCAUUAAAGCGGUACGCGAGCUGGGUUCAGAACGUCGUGAGACAGUUCGGUCCCUAUCCGUCGUGGGCGUAGGAAAUUUGAGAGGAGCUGUCCUUAGUACGAGAGGACCGGGAUGGACAUACCUCUGGUGUACCAGUUGUCGUGCCAACGGCAUAGCUGGGUAGCUAUGUGUGGACGGGAUAAGUGCUGAAAGCAUCUAAGCAUGAAGCCCCCCUCAAGAUGAGAUUUCCCAACUUCGGUUAUAAGAUCCCUCAAAGAUGAUGAGGUUAAUAGGUUCGAGGUGGAAGCAUGGUGACAUGUGGAGCUGACGAAUACUAA